GGGUCGGUGGCGUAGUUGGUUAUCGCAUCUGUCUUACAUAGGAGGAUUUGGAGAGUACACAGAAGGUCCCCAGUUCGAGCCUGGGUCGACUCA